CAGUUCCCCACCCCGCCCCUCAGCUCCUCGGCCAUCGCUCGCCGUCCUCGGCACCACCUCGCCGCCGCGCUGGUCCACCCGUGGUCCUCCACCGGCCGCUGCAGCCCCUGUACGCCGCCCGACGACCUCCUCCGCUGCCCUCCCUACCCCGACCAGGGGCACAACCGCGCAGCCGCGCCGGUCAGACCAGCCACCGCUGGAGGCCCAAGCAGCCACCAUCUCCACCUCGUCGGCCAGCACAUCUCUAGCAAUCGCUGCUCGCCGCCCCCACCAUCGGCUGUACGGCGACGCCCCUGAGCCCCUGCCUUCCCUAUCGCGCUAUGGACCCUUGCAUCAGCCAGAUCCGAGCACCUCCGGGGCCGCCUUCGCAUGUCUUCGGCACCUCCGCCAGAACCUCUUCGGCCCCAUGAUUUCAGGGAGUAUGGACCAUGUAUGGACAGAUGUGAUCCUUAACUGUCGUUGUUCUUGGCGUGUUGCUGCCAUUUUACUGGGUAGAAUCUAUGCACGGCCGAGACCUCAGUCUAUCCACUGUACGAGUGUUUAAUGAAUUUACUCUUCUCCAUGGCGCGUCCAUGAGGGCAGAAAUUUCAUGCUUCAAAUCUGCUUGGCGAGAACCUUUUCAGGCCUGGAGAUGUCCUUGUGAACUGGUCAGUGAUUUUCGGAAAGUGGAGCUGCAUUCAAGGUUUGAGAUAUAGUUUAUGUCGACUGGAUGAGUUGUUUGAUCUCUUUGCCCUGUUCUUCGAGAUGGGUUGCGAUGAAAACUCUUGGGGCCAUGAGCAACACUUGAGGCUCCUCUUCAUAAGCACAAAAGCUGCAGCAAGCAGAAAUUGGAGAGUUGAAGAGCUUUGUACAGAACCGGAGAUUAGGAGGAAUGGAAAUAUAAGAAACAAUUCAGGAAGAUUCCCUAGGGAAGCAAAAAUUGUUUCCUGGUCUGUGUAGGUCCAUUUAGGAAAUUAGAUGACUGUUGUAAUAUGAAUUUUACAUCCGUUCCAAGAAAAAGUGAUGUUUCUAUUUACAUCCAUUUUGGUGUGAUAAAUAUUGGUUCUGAAC